ACACUGCAUGCUCUUUUUUGAUCCAUAGGCAUUUUCUGACAUCCUACUUAAGCUAUUGCUGCAAGAACUGAACACAACAUUUCAACAGAGAACAACAAUGCGUGAACAAAGGAAAUAUGAUUUCUCCCCUUCCAUUCAUCAGGCUACUGCUCACUUUGCCAAGAUUAGGUAAACAUCCAAAGUUUUGCUGAAGGAUCCACCCAAAGUACAACAGAAAGAGAAG
rnacentral:lncRNA from 14 species